rnacentral:rRNA from 1 species
UUGAACGCUGGCGGCAUGCUUUACACAUGCAAGUCGAACGGUAACAGGCCGCAAGGUGCUGACGAGUGGCGAACGGGUGAGUAAUGCAUCGGAACGUGCCCAGUCGUGGGGGAUAACUACUCGAAAGAGUAGCUAAUACCGCAUACGAUCUAUGGAUGAAAGCGGGGGACCGUAAGGCCUCGCGCGAUUGGAGCGGCCGAUGUCAGAUUAGGUAGUUGGUGGGGUAAAGGCUCACCAAGCCAACGAUCUGUAGCUGGUCUGAGAGGACGACCAGCCACACUGGGACUGAGACACGGCCCAGACUCCUACGGGAGGCAGUAGUGGGGAAUUUUGGACAAUGGGCGCAAGCCUGAUCCAGCAAUGCCGCGUGCAGGAAGAAGGCCUUCGGGUUGUAAACUGCUUUUGUACGGAACGAAACGGCUCUGGUUAAUACCCGGGGCUAAUGACGGUACCGUAAGAAUAAGCACCGGCUAACUACGUG